GAUGAACGCUGGCGGCGUGCCUAAUACAUGCAAGUCGAGCGAACGGACGAGAAGCUUGCUUCUCUGAUGUUAGCGGCGGACGGGUGAGUAACACGUGGAUAACCUACCUAUAAGACUGGGAUAACUUCGGGAAACCGGAGCUAAUACCGGAUGAUAUUUUGAACAGCAUGGUUCAAAAGUGAAAGACGGUCUUGCUGUCACUUAUAGAUGGAUCCGCGCUGCAUUAGCUAGUUGGUAAGGUAACGGCUUACCAAGGCAACGAUGCAUAGCCGACCUGAGAGGGAGAUCGGCCACACUGGAACUGAGACACGGUCCAGACUCCUACGGGAGGCAGCAGUAGGGAAUCUUCCGCGAUGGGCGAAAGCCUGACGGUGCAACGCCGCGUGAGUGAUGAAGGUCUUCGGAUCGUAAAACUCUGUUAUUAGGGAAGAACAUAUGUGUAAGUAACUGUGCACAUCUUGACGGUACCUAAUCAGAAAGCCACGGCUAACUACGUG
rnacentral:rRNA from 1 species